GAGACGCUGGAACUCAGCCCUCCCAUAAAAAAGUUAAUAAAUUAAUGUUUAAGUGAAGAAAAGUCAAUCAAUACUUUUUUAAGGUUACUUAUAAUCUACUCCGGAUUGUUUUAAGCUAUGCCUCAUAAACAGAGGAUGAAGAAAACUACUUCCGCGAAGAUCGCUCAAGUUGGAACAGAAUCAAGGCCUACUUCUACCGAAGAACCGCGGACUCAGGUACAACACACCACCGGUGAAACAGAAAAGGAGACCGCGGCAGCAUCGGCCAUUUCUAAAGGAAAAGAUCAACGAGAACUGCGCAAGCGUAAAGGAACGAGCAUGCGCAAACGAGUGUAACCAGAACUACAAAACCCAGCAACGACUGAAACCAACAGUAAAAGUGAGUCUGAGAGAGAGCCGGACUCUCUGGAAAAAUCAAAAAUAAAUGAUUUGGGCAAGGUGUGAAGGAACUAGGUAUUUAAGUUUCUCAGAGAGCUGAUAAAAAGUAGAUGAAGAAGUGAGUCAAAAAAGAAAAGAUAAAGGCUGAAAAUGUGAAAGAAAACCAGAAGAUGGUGAAAAGCACAGAGUAGGGUGAACUUGUGGAAAGAAAAGUAGUUUGAGAAACUUUAUUAGAGCUACGUUUGUGAGUUGAGUGUCCCCCACUGUCAUCCUGAGGCCAUGUAACUACUGUGGCCCUAGAAGCAGAUCCAAAGCCAGGUAUCCUGUGAUGAGUGACUCACCUUCUGACUUGAUGAAUUCUUUCCACCAUCAAUAAGGCACCUGAGGAGUUCGAUGGAAUACUCUUUAUUUACCUGGAUGAAUGCAGCUUCAAUCACUUUCAAGAAGCUUGACAAUCUUGAUUUGAUUGAAAUCCCAAUCACCAACCAAAUAUUCAAUCGCUUCUCCACUGGUACACAAGGCCUGUAUUUAUCUCAUGUAUCCAACUAAUCACCUAGACCAACCUGACAGUAUCCCUCAAACCUGCCAUCUAUUUCGGAGAAAAGGGUAUUCAAUGAGAGGUUGGCCUAAUACUUGUUAUGACAUGCACCCAACUGUUUAGAUGCUCUAAUUCGCUAGAAUAUGGAUAGCUGGCAUGACCCCUUGCUCAUUGGCAAUCAUGUUUUGGGUGCCAAGAAUUGAGUACUUAAAGAGCUCCUGAACUGAGGUUUGAUGCUCAAUUGUAAGCCGAACCAGAGGUACUGUUCAGCAUUUUGUUUUUGUUCCAGCUUUAUAUCUGUUUGGAAAUCGAUCAGCGUGUUCGCAAGGCCCAGGCACAGGUGGAGUCUCCGAAGGAGGCCAUACUUAGUGUUCCUGUGGCUGAAAACCCUGUCUGAUGCUGCAAUGAGAAAUGGUCAGGGGGGGAUUUUGUUAGCCUCUAUCCAGAAGCCUGAAAUAAAUGCUAACUGCAAGAGAAGGCAGGGACAAGUUUUGCAACCAGGGCAAUGGGUCUGGCUGUCAACACAGGAUUUGCCUCUCUGGGUAUAGUCUAGGAAACUUGUGCCCAAGUUCAUUGGACCCUUCAAGGUUCUUAAAGAAGUGCAUUUGGCAGCUCCCAAGACCUUCAAGAUCGAUCCCACUUUCCCUAUUUCCCAUUGAAACCUGUGAGUACCAGCUGUUUAGCUACACCCCCAUCAAACCCACAGCCAAUCAGAUUUGUUGAUGAGGAACAACUUUUCCCAGUAAAAAGAAUUCUGGAUUUGAGAACGGUUCAGGGUACUCGGCAGAUCCUCAUGGACCUGGGAGGAAUUUGGAAUCGAGGAAUGGUGCGGGUUCCUGAAAGGGACAUCUUGGAUCCAGAUCUAAUCUAUGACUACCAUCAUUGUCCCUCUGAGCAGCCAGUGUGUAGGGGAGGGGUCCUGUUAUGGCAAGCAUCCAUCUGUACCAGUUUUCAGAGUUUAUAAGCUCUAACUCUUCAGAAUAUAGAAAGCUGGUGCGUCCCCUGAAACAGUUCAGGACCAUCCUGCUAAUUGGCAAUCGUGUUGUGGGUGCCAAGAAUUGAAUAUUUUAAGAGCACCUGAAAUGAGCUAUGAUGGUUAAUCAAAAGCCUAACUAGAGAUAUCAUCCAGCAUUUUGUUUUGGCUCUGUUAUCAUUCCAGCUUUAUACCAUGCCUCGAGCCAAGCCUUGGAUACUCAAGCACUUGGGUCUGAACCAUCCUCGUCCAGCUCUGUUGGGUUCUCAUUACCCCACCGAAACAGCCAAUCCUGAAGAAGGGUAUCAGCCCAAUCCUUUGACUGUUCAUUACAUAGAUGCUGCUUGACCUGCUGAGUUCUUCCAUCAGCUUGUGUACGUUGCUUUGGAUUUCCAACAUCUGCAGAAUUUCUUGUGUUUAUAAAUAGUCAUUUUGCCAGAUUAAACUUACUUUAUAGUUAUUUAUCAGUGGUAUGUAAGAGAAAUUUUACUUGUUGCCAGUAAAGUCCAUGAGAUGCCCUAAGUUAACUAGCAGAACACAAAAUUGAUCACUUUGAAACAAUGAUAGUAUGAAAUGUGAAAUGAAUGUAUAUUAAUUAUAUAAA